AUUGAACGCUGGCGGCAGGCCUAACACAUGCAAGUCGAGCGGAUGAAGGGAGCUUGCUCCUGGAUUCAGCGGCGGACGGGUGAGUAAUGCCUAGGAAUCUGCCUGGCAGUGGGGGAUAACGUCCGGAAACGGGCGCUAAUACCGCAUACGUUCUGAGGGUGAAAGUGGGGGAUCUUCGGACCUCACGCUAUUAGAUGAGCCUAGGACGGAUUAGCUAGUUGGUUGGGUAAAGGCCUACCAAGGCGACGAUCCGUAACUGGUCUGAGAGGAUGAUCAGUCACACUGGAACUGAGACACGGUCCAGACUCCUACGGGAGGCAGCAGUGGGGAAUAUUGGACAAUGGGCGAAAGCCUGAUCCAGCCAUGCCGCGUGUGUGAAGAAGGUCUUCGGAUUGUAAAGCACUUUAAGUUGGGAGGAAGGGCAGUAAGUUAAUACCUUGCUGUUUUGACGUUACCAACAGAAUAAGCACCGGCUAACUUCGUG
rnacentral:rRNA from 1 species